UACGAAGGGGGCUAGCGUUGCUCGGAAUCACUGGGCGUAAAGGGUGCGUAGGCGGGUCUUUAAGUCAGGGGUGAAAUCCUGGAGCUCAACUCCAGAACUGCCUUUGAUACUGAAGAUCUUGAGUUCGGGAGAGGUGAGUGGAACUGCGAGUGUAGAGGUGAGAUUCGUAGAUAUUCGCAAGAACACCAGUGGCGAAGGCGGCUCACUGGCCCGAUACUGACGCUGAGGCACGAAAGCGUGGGGAGCAAACAGG
rnacentral:rRNA from 1 species